rnacentral:sRNA from 1 species
AUAUCUCUCUGUACGGGAAGGAUGAGAAGCUUCGACUAAGGUUCGAUUCGAGCGAAGCGAGAAAGCGUUGCCGCAGGCAACGACCCGAAGGGCGAAGCGCGCAGCGCUGAGUCAUCCUUCCCCCGUCAUCC